AUUGAACGCUGGCGGCAUGCCUUACACAUGCAAGUCGAACGGCAGCGCGGGGCAACCUGGCGGCGAGUGGCGAACGGGUGAGUAAUAUAUCGGAACGUACCCUGGAGUGGGGGAUAACGUAGCGAAAGUUACGCUAAUACCGCAUACGAUCUAAGGAUGAAAGCAGGGGAUUCGCAAGAACCUUGUGCUCCUGGAGCGGCCGAUAUCUGAUUAGCUAGUGGUGGGGUAAAGGCCUACCAAGGCAUCGAUCAGUAGCUGGUCUGAGAGGACGACCAGCCACACUGGAACUGAGACACGGUCCAGACUCCUACGGGAGGCAGCAGUGGGGAAUUUUGGACAAUGGGCGCAAGCCUGAUCCAGCAAUGCCGCGUGAGUGAAGAAGGCU
rnacentral:rRNA from 1 species